AGAUAUGGCCGAGUGGUUAAGGCGACUGACUCGAAAUCAGUUUCCAUCUUGGAGCGUAGGUUCGAAUCCUACUAUCUGCG
rnacentral:tRNA from 1 species